CUGCUCACUGCAGCAGCACAUAUGCUAAAGUUGUAAUAAUACAAAGUAGAUUAUUAGUAUGACUCUUGCGGGAGGAUGAUACACAAAUUUGUGAAGUGCCCCCUAUUUUG
ensembl:snRNA U6 U6 spliceosomal RNA